GUUAGCAGCCAUAUCACCCUGCAACUCACAACUGGCAACCCACUGAAGCUAAGCAGGUGUGAGCCUGGUCAGUACCUGGAUAGGAGACCACCUGGGAAAAACUAAGGUUGCUGCUGGAA
ensembl:rRNA 5S_rRNA 5S ribosomal RNA